AAAUCAUCAUAGUUAAUACUGAUUGCAAAUCCAGAUGUUCACAUACUGUAAUCAAUAUAGUUCGUCCUAGGCGCGCCAUUCCGCAGGCCUACUAUCGAUUAGGCAUCGUGUCACCUCGGCCCAAGAGCGUGCCGCCCGUAGCAAACAGGCUGUGCUGCCACCAAGGGUUUGGUUCUCGGGGAAACGCGAAACAGGAUAGCGAAAGCUCACUAUUUCUUUUUGUUUUUUUUUUUAUAUUUGUAACGAGAACGGGUAUUUUUUUUCUCCGCAGAUUGGUUCUCGAACGAGAUAGCGAAAGCUCUUAUCUCUACUAUAAGCGAUAAGGCUAGGUGGUAGUCACGGACCACACCUAGUGUAAUAUUUAGUGGUCGGUUGGCCGGAAGUGAUUUUCAGUGAGAUAUAAACAGAGUUCUUUUGUACCAAUAUACUGCAAAGCUUUUAUUAUAAUAAUCACAAUAAUAAUGAUAAUAAUAAUAAGAAUAAUAAAAUAAUCAUAAUUAUAAUUCGAUUAUUUUAUCGAUGGUAGUCAUUGUAUUUUACUUGUAAAUUGUUAUAUUUUCUAUAGUGACUAUUUUGUAUGUUUUUUCAUAUUUGUUUUACAUUUUAUAAUAUAAUAUGUGAUGACGAGCAGAAGAAUUUCCCUUGUGGAACAAUAAAGUUAUCUUAUCUUAUCUUAUCUUAUCUUAUCUUAUUCAUCACUUAUCUUACCAUAUUCAUUAACUAUCCUACUGUACAUAUAUACAAUCGACUACUAACUCCAGGACACUCAGAUGUUAGAGUUCAACCUAUUCCGAGUGGAGUCAGUUCGUAAUCUCUUCUCUCAUAAAUUCAUAGUGUGAGAAAGGUGAAGUCCAAUUGACUAGGGUAAAGUUAUAGAAUGACCAAUUGUAUGUUUAGAUUAUCUGCAUACUAAGGUUGACCAUUAAAACUGUCAAACUAAUUUAAGACAUUUAACAGGUGAAGGGUUAUUGAUGAUAUACAAAUUGCAAUGGUUAUAUAAGUUAAUAUUAUUGAACAUUACAUUACACUAUCACUGCGAGUUAUGGGUUAUUCUCAUACCAAAUAAUUACCUACCUUUACAUAUAAAAUAAAAAUCAUAGUGAUUAAAUUGAAAUAGAAUGACGCCAAUGACGCUUAAAACUUUCAAUCAUAGAUUCAUAGUGUGCGCAAGGUCAAGUCCAAUUGACUAGGUAGGGUAAAGUUAUAGAAUGACCAAUUGUAUUAUUAGAUUAUUUGUAUACUCAGGUUGACAAUUAAAAACUGUCAAACUAAUUUAAGACAUUUAACAGGUGAAAGGAUAUCGAUGAUAUACAAAUUCCAAUGGUUAUAUAAGUUAAUAUUAUUGAACCUUAAUACUACAUUACACUAUUACUGCGAGUUAUGGGUUAUUCUCAUACAAAAUUUUACCUACCUUUACAUAUUAAAUAAAAAUUCUAAUGAUUAAACUGAAAUACAAUGACGUCAAAAAUUAUAAUGAAACUAGUAACGAUUUGAAAUAAAUGCACUGAACAAAG